UGGGCGUUGAGGAAGCUCCGGCGCUGCUGGGCAGCCGCGCGCUGCUGGGCGCGGGCGUUGGAGGUGGCGAGGGCGCGGAGGAGCGCGAUGGAGCAAGAGAGCCACAGGAGCGCGGUGGCUGCGCGGCGGCCUAUGGGCGGGCACAGGUCGUUGUAAUUAUGGCGAGCUCGGCGCCACUGCUGAGCCCGAGACCUGCGAUCCAUCCUCCUCUGGGCUCACGGAGAAGCCGUCCUGCCCUCUGGCUCUGCAGAGAGAGGCUCCGAAGAAGGUGCACCUUGCGAGGUCCCAGCCCCACCUCGGUGUGAGGAGGAGGAGAGGACCCACCUCCUUGCCACUUAGAAACUUUCUACAGCUCCGCGCCGCUGCCUGCCUAUCUGAGCAAAAAGGAGCGAAGGGAGGAGGACCAGGAGUGCCGUGGCAUCCAGGAUCCCAGAGAAGCUGCUCCACCCUCGACCCGCGCCGGAGCCCUCGGCCUCUGCCCUUGCCCGGCUGAAGGCCCUGAGGAAGUUGAGUCUGGCCAAGGUCACGUCUGACGGCCUUGGAGGUCCUUGGGAGUCUCCGUGGCUGUGCUACCACCCACUGCUCGCACUAUUCCAUGCGGGGCCACCUUUAGCCAUGGCCUGGUCGAUUCACGGGGGUGACCUCACCGUGCAAAGCCACCUGAAUUGAGAGGACUGACUGUGCCAGGCUUCACACCACUCCAGGUCUCCCCACCCUCACUGCCGCCGCCUCCAGGAAGCCCCUGACCGUCCUCUCCUCACUGGGCUACGCAGCCCUGGGCAUCUCUGUAUUAUGCUGGUGACUUGUCUGGGUCGCCCUGCCCGGCCGAGCCCCAGGUGAGGCCAUGGCCGUCUUCCAUGCCUUUGGGUACGCAGGGCCUAACGGCGUGGGAGGGCUGCAGGGUCUUCCUCUCCCCUUCUGCCCAGCCCUGCCUGCUCGUAUCCUGGAGUGAAUGCAGUCUGUCCUCACUGCCCUCUGGGGUCUGCCCCUUGCUGUAGUCAUGGCAGCCCACCUACCCCGCCCCUAGGGAAAGCAGUGGCCAUGGUGUGGGUCACAGGAGCCCGUUGGAAGGUCCAAAGGCCAGCGCGGGCGGUCUGACCAGCAGAGUAGCAUGGGUGCAGCCCUAUGUCUGAGUGCGUGUCCGCGAGUCUGUGCUCAGUGAGUGGCCACGCCGAGGGGAGCAGGACUCUGGGUGAGGCACUGCAUGGUCCCAGGGGCGGAGCCCCGCCGGCCUGCAGCGCCUGCAGUGCAGCAGAGCUGGGAGGGGGAGCCUCAGCCCGGAGGAAGUUGGGCAUCUGGCUCAGGCGUGUCACCGAUGUGAUGCAGGCCUUUACCCGACCCUCGCCUGCACUGGCCGAGCUGGACAUCCCUCAAAUGGUCACAGUUGUCAACUGUCCAGCUGAGCAAGCACAAGACCUGGGGCUCUGGGUGAGGCUCCGGAGCAGCAGGGACUCCAGGUGGAGGCCGGUGGAGUCUGGACGCUGCGCGGCACUCAGGCCGGACUGCGUUCACACCACUCACGGCUGUGACUUGUCGGUCGGUGCUGGGGUCAUGGAAGCUCUCUCUUAUUUCUGCAAGCUUUCUGUAAAUCUGCAAAGUUUAAAUAAAAGCUGACUGUGAUUA